UGUUGGGAUGGAUGUAUGUGUCAUAGGUCAACCUAGUCUCGCACUGCCAGACCUACCUCCACAGCGCUGCAAAGAAGGGUCUGGCAAGUCCACACAUUAUUCCAGGAUGGGAACAAAAACAUUCUUUAG